rnacentral:rRNA from 1 species
UACGUAGGGGGCGAGCGUUGUCCGGAAUCAUUGGGCGUAAAGCGCGUGUAGGCGGCUCGAUAAGUCCGGUGUGAAACCUUGGGGCUCAACCCCAAGCCUGCACUGGAUACUGCCGAGCUAGAGUCCGGGAGGGGAGAUCGGAAUUCCUGGUGUAGCGGUGAAAUGCGCAGAUAUCAGGAGGAACACCGGUGGCGAAGGCGGAUCUCUGGGCCUGUCCUGACGCUGAGGCGCGAAAGCUAGGGGAGCGAACAGG